GAGGCCAAGGGAUGAGGUUCGACAUGGCCAAGUGCCGGGUCCUGCACUUUGGCCACAACAACCCCAUGCAGCGCUACAGGCUGGGGGCAGAGUAACUCGAAAGCUGUGCAGAGGAAAAGGAUCCGGGGGUGAUGAUUGAUGCUCAACUGGACAUGAGCCAGCAGUGUGCCCAGGUGGCCAAGAAGGCCAACGGCCUCCUGGCUUGUGUCAGGAAUAGUGCAGCCAGCAGGAGGGGAGAUGAUCUUGGAGGUCUUUUCCAACCUUAAUGAUUCUA